GUUAGAUCUGUCGAUAUUAUUGUUGAUUUGAAUAAUUUUUUAUAUGUGCAAGAAGCCAACUUGAACCAAACAAGAAAGCCAUGUCGAUAAAGGUAUAAAUUUGGUUUUGAAAAAAAUGGGAUUAAUCGUAACUUACAUGUUAGAUCUGGUGGUAUUAUUGUUGAUUUGAACAAUUUUUGUAUGUGGAGUAAGCCAACUUGAAACAAACAAGAAAGCCACGUCGAUCCAGGUUCACGUCUUGCCCUCUUGCAAUGCUGUUUCUAAUCCUCCAAUGUUCAGUGAUGGUUAAUAUCAAAUGUGCGUAACGUUUUAGAAUCAUUUGUAUAUAUUAAAAACUUUAUUCCCAUUUCAAUAAAAAUAUGUAUACCUGUUGCAAGAAAGUGUGUCUCAAGUGUGGCGAUGUAGGUUUUAUCGAGGUGAUAGUUUGUUGCAACAAUUGUGAGGUUUGUGCUCUUCACAGGAAUAAAGCACUCUUAAGAUUGACAGUUUUAAGACUAUGCUGAAGUAAAGCAGUUUGAUUUUUCAAGUUCAAGCAAGAGGAUCAAUUUAUGAUAUCUAUCAAUAUCAAUGUAA